rnacentral:misc_RNA from 1 species
GUCUAGCAUUCUCAGAUGAAGUCAGAAGCUCCUCCAAGUAAUCAGCACCUAAAUCUUCCAAAACCACCACAUUUUCUAUCCUACCAUCCCUUUCUCUCUUGCUUCUGUUCAUCAUUUUCCUUCUCAUGGAGUGCUUCCUCUUAAGAGCUACUACAGGUGAGCACCCCUCUUCUUGACUACACUUGAUGUCCUUGAGUGAUUCCCUCACUCUUUCAACCGGGAAAUUGAGUAUAGCCCCAGCUCCUCUCAUUGAAAAAGCAGCUUGGUCAUAAGCCAGAGCAGCUGCCUCCGCACUAUCAAAUGUGCCUAACCAUACCCUUAUCCCAUGCCUGGUGGAGUCCCUUAUCUCCGCAGCAAAUUUCCCCCAUGGACGCCUCCUAACACCUCUGUAGGACUUCAUCUCGUUGUUGGGAUUUUCUUUAAUUACAGAACUGACCUCUUCUUCCUUGAUAUUUCGAACAGAGUAAGCUGUUUUCGAUGUUUCUUGUGUGGCCUCUGAGAUUAGUCCAUAGAGAAGCAUUUCCUCUGAAUCAUUUUCAUUGAAAGGGAGAGGAUGUUGGCUAAAGGAUUGGCUGUAGAAAGAUUCAGGCGACCCGAAGGAAGAUUCCGACGAGAAAUCGGAGUUUGGAGAGUGAAAGAUGGAGGACUCCAUGUGAAAUUGGUUCGGUUUUGAGCUGCUGUGUCACUAUUUUGGUGUGCUU